rnacentral:rRNA from 1 species
GACAGAGGGUGCAAACGUUGUUCGGAAUUACUGGGCGUAAAGCGCGUGUAGGCUGCCUCGAAAGUCAGGUGUGAAAUCCCUGGGCUCAACCCAGGAAGUGCACUUGAAACUUCGAAGCUCGAGUCCCGGAGAGGGUCGUGGAAUUCCCAGUGUAGAGGUGAAAGUUCGUAGAUAUUGGGAAGAACACCGGUGGCGAAGGCGGCGACCUGGUCCGAUACUGACGCUGAGGAGCGAAAGCGUGGGGAGCGAACAGG